GACUCCCUCUCGGGCGAAGACGCAGCAGGGGACCUAGGGCUUGGUCUCCGGCGCCGGCGAAGGGUUGUUUCUGACCGAUCUUCACCCGUGUGUGGCCACUCCGCCGAGGGGAGCUUGGAAACACAAAGAGGUUGCCGAGAAUUGAAGCUCCUUCGAAGCCCUAGUUGUCUCCUUCCGGCUGUGGGUCCAAGAACACGAAGAUACAGGAAAGGAAAAGAUAUAGAAAGGAAGGCGACAAGGAGGUGCGGAUGGAUGUGUGAUGCCAGGACUAUGGAAGCCUUGGGACUAGGAAAGAAGUUUUAAAUUUAGUUUCUGCAUUUUGGAUAUUGUAAACAUUUGUGUUGUAUUUUAAGUUCAUGUCAUUUGAGAUUAUUCUAUUUAGAUUGCAUGUAGGAUGAGUUCAGUA